UUCGUUGUCGUGCAGCGGUUAGGAUAUCUGGCUUUCACCCAGGAGACUCGGGUUCAAUUCCCAACAACGAAA
rfam:Ipomoea nil DNA, scaffold: scaffold2144, cultivar: Tokyo-kokei standard.